CUGUCAUUUUUUCUUUUACGUGAAUUCUUUUGGAAAACACUUUAAAGCUGGUAUAUUGUGGUAGUGGGUGUGGUUAAUAUUCCAUCCGGACGAGCCUGAACACAAGCCUCGGCAGAUCAGGGCUCUCGGGCCCUGCCUUUCAUUUUUCAUGCGAGGAAAUGAGGAUGAAGACACACUCCGUCACCAUAUCCCAGGGUGCCUCUGGCCUUCAGUGUGAUGAGGCCAGCUGUCGGGAGAUCCUGCCCUGACUUCUGUACAAUGAUCGACUAUACACUGGAAUUGGGAGAUGAAACGAACCCUCCACCUCUACAUCACUCUUUGUAUGGAUAUUUCAUCACUGAGACAGAAAUUAAAAAGAAGGUGAGGGCAGAGAGCCUGAGGGGGCAUCCACAUGCAACAAGCAGACUGGAGCUCCGGCAGUUGGGAAGCAGUGACUGGUUUAACAGCGGCAUGGACUCAAAUGGUAGGUUCUAGCAUAAGGAGCCUGCCACCAGAGCUCACCUACUCCAGAAAGCCGUCUUCUGACUGACCAUCACACACAUGCUGUGAGAAGUUGACACACUGCUUGGAAGAUGUGUUUCCUUCACGGAUGUCUCUCACACAGUAGAACCUGGGAACUUCUCAAACUUCCGUGGAAGUUUGCGCCGAGAGGCAGGUCUCCUCCCUUGCCAGCUUAGAGGAGCGUUGGGUCAGCGGCUGGCGACUUCACUUAGCAGGAAUGUUUUCACCAUGCCGGCAUCUUUGUCUUACUGCCUCACAUUCAUGCUUUUAAGCCCUAAGCCUGCUACAUCAGAACCUGACGGCAUUGGGAGAUGAUGCUUUCAAAAAAUGGGCAAGGGCCGGCCACACGACAUAGUGGGGAAAGGUACCUGCCGCCAAGCCUGAGGACCUGAGUUCAAUCCCUCGGACUUACACGGAGGAAGGAGAGAGAGCUGAUUAUUAUAAGCUGCCCUUGAAUUCCAUGGCAUGUGAACUUUGAGCUCCCAACCGCAACACACAAAUAAAAAGAUAAAAAUACAAUUA